rnacentral:rRNA from 1 species
UGGGGAAUAUUGCACAAUGGGCGCAAGCCUGAUGCAGCCAUGCCGCGUGUGUGAAGAAGGCCUUCGGGUUGUAAAGCACUUUCAGCGGGGAGGAAGGCGUUAAGGUUAAUAACCUUGGCGAUUGACGUUACCCGCAGAAGAAGCACCGGCUAACUCCGUGCCAGCAGCCGCGGUAAUACGGAGGGUGCAAGCGUUAAUCGGAAUUACUGGGCGUGAAGCGCACGCAGGCGGUCUGUCUAGUCGGAUGUGAAAUCCCCGGGAUCAACCUGGGAGCUGCAUUCGAAACUGGCAGGCUAGAGUCUUGUAGAGGGGGGUAGAAUUCCAGGUGUGGCGGUGAGAUGCGUAGAGAUCUGGAGGAAUACCGGUAGCGAAGGCGGCCCCCUGGACAAAGAAUGACGCUCAGGUGCGAAAGCGUGGGGAGCAAACAGG